GACGAACGCUGGCGGCGCGCUUAACACAUGCAAGUCGAACGGAAAGGCCUGCUUUCCCUUGUGGAUUGCGGGUACUCGAGUGGCGAACGGGUGAGUAACACGUGAGUGAUCUGCCCCCAACUUGGGUAUAAGCCUGGGAAACUGGGUCUAAUUCCCGAUAGGACUGCAGGGUGGUGCCUGUGGUGGAAAACGAUUUUCUAGUGGUUGGGGAUGAGCUCGCGGCCUAUCAGCUUGUUGGUGGGGUAAUGGCCUACCAAGGCGGCGACGGGUAGCCGGCCUGAGAGGGUGGACGGCCACAUUGGGACUGAGAUACGGCCCAGACUCCUACGGGAGGCAGCAGUGGGGAAGAAUGCACAAUGGGCGGAAGCCUGAUGCAGCGACGCCGCGUGGGGGAUGACGGCCUUCGGGUUGUAAACUCCUUUCGACCGCGAGGAAGCCACCUGGUUGGAAGGGUGGUGACGGUAGUGGUAGAAGAAGCACCGGCUAACUACGUG
rnacentral:rRNA from 1 species